rnacentral:rRNA from 1 species
AGGACGAACGCUGGCGGCGUGCUUAACACAUGCAAGUCGAACGCUGUCCAUUCGGUGGCAACACUGAUGAAGACGGAGUGGCGAACGGGUGAGUACCACGUGAGCAACCUGCCCCGAAGACCGGGACAACACUCGGAAACGAGUGCUAAUACCGGAUACCCCCACUGGAUCGCAUGAUCCGGUGAGGAAAUGGAUUCCGCUUCGGGAGGGGCUCGCGGCCUAUCAGCUAGUUGGUGAGGUAACGGCUCACCAAGGCUUCGACGGGUAGCUGGUCUGAGAGGACGAUCAGCCACACUGGGACUGAGACACGGCCCAGACUCCUACGGGAGGCAGCAGUGGGGAAUCUUGCGCAAUGGGCGAAAGCCUGACGCAGCAACGCCGCGUGGGGGACGAAGGCUUUCUGAGUUGUAAACCCCUUUCAGUCAGGGACGAUGAUGACGGUACCUGCAGAAGAAGCACCGGCCAACUACGUGCCAGCAGCCGCGGUAAU